GGGUGGUUACAGAGUCUGCAUCAGCUGAUGAUGAAGAGAAUAGGCCAAUAUUCAGAGUGUUCAGUCAAUGCGUUCAAUGUACUGAGAACAUGGUGCAGCGGAAAUGCAGCGAGUGACCCCAUUCCAGUGUUGAUGAAAGCUUAGUCGUCAUCUCCACGGUGAAGGAAGGAUCCAGCUGAACUCCAGCUUUAGCAGCAGUGAAAGCAAGAUGUCUCUUUUUCUAACAACUGCCAGCCUUCAGCAGUCAUCUCUUCCUCGACCUGGUAUUUUGAACACACCAGGAAGAAGCCCACAGAUGCUAGAUGGUGUCGUCUCAUGCCACUUAAAAGGGCACAUUCUACAAAUGACUAGGGAUUAAUUAGCAGAACUGUUGAAAGCAGACACUGCAGGCACCGCAGUAUUGCAAACAAGCCUACAACAGCAAGACUUCAAGAGCAACUCCGAGGCAUGUUCAGUUAGCACAGCAAUAUUGUUAUUUAGCGCCAGCAUCACAACGCCCAAUAUCAACGGAUCCCAGAGCUGGAACACAGAGCAGCGCUACAAGGUAAAUAUAUCUACAUGAGCUUUUCCUUGGUUUUUCCUCCCUGUUGUCAGUAUUAAUUUUACCAGGUGCUGCUCCACUGUUACAUUGCUGGUGAUGGCUCAGGAGUCAGGUACAAAUUGUGCAUAUGGAUAAAAUCUGUAAUAAAGCGAUAUAUUUCCAGCCCUUGUAGCA
rnacentral:lncRNA from 1 species